AUUGAUCGCUGGCGGCCGGCCUCACACAUGCAAGUCGAGCGGAUGAAGUGUGCUGGCUCCUGGAUUCAGCGGCGGACGGGUGCGUAAUUCAUAUGAAUCUGCCUGGUAGUGGGGGAUAACGUACGGACCCGGGCGCUGAUACAGCAUACGUCAUGAGACAGAAAGUGGGGGAUAUUCGGACCACACGCUAUCAGAUGAUCCUAGGUCGCAUUACCUAGUUGGUGUGGUAAAGGCCUACCAAGGCGACGAUCCGUAACUGAUCUGAGAGGAUGAUCAGCCACACUGGAACUGAGACACGGUCCAGACUCCUACGGGAGGCAGCAGUGGGGAAUAUUGGACAAUGGGCGAAAGCCUGAUCCAGCCAUGCCGCGUGUGUGAAGAAGGUCUUCGGAUUGUAAAGCACUGUAAGUUGGGAGGAAGGGCAGUAAGUUAAUACCUUGCUGUUUUGACGUUACCAACAGAAUAAGCACCGGCUAACUUCGUG
rnacentral:rRNA from 1 species